GUGUAGACAAAGGGGGACUCCACAACACAAAGCUGGAUGUGCCCUUUCAAACUUUUUCCACGGCGCACGGGAACGCGCACACAGCAAACCAGCCGCAGUCCUUUAGGUGGGAUUUCAACACAGAUUAACCAGCAAAGUGUUUGCUCCUGUGGGAGGUGAAGGGAGUAAAAAUUAUGCAGAAGUCACUCGAAGGAUGCAUGGAGUCACCUAUCAAGCGACUUUUAAGAAGAAGAGAAGGAUUAAGAGACUGUGCAGCGUUUUAUUUGGAUGGAGGGGGGGACUUAUCACAUAAGGAUUUAGACUUCAGCAACAGCAGUGCCAGUCGGAUUGCAUUUUAGGCACUCUUGGAAAUCUAAAACUCAUGGAGAAUUUUUUGAGGGUUAUAAAAAAUGUGUAGUAAAUCUCUCUACAAGACAUGUCCCAGUCCGGAGCCAACUGGAUAGCGGCGUAUUGCAUUUCUGAUCCUCCUCGGCCCUCAUCAUCGGGAGUGUGGGAGUAGUGAGGUCUGGGAGAUCACGACCUUAAUUCUCUCCAAGACAGACUAUCUAAUUAACACUGGAGAAUUCCUCAAUGACUACAGACCUCUACAAAAGGAAUGCACUGGGAAAUUGUAUUGCACAGUCAGCAUUUUGGCAGAAUCUCAUCGGAAGUGAAGCACUGAACUCGACCAGAUUGGGAAAACACAGCGCUGCAGCCAGGAAUGUUGAAGUAAUGCAAUGACCAGCUGGAAGGCCCAUGUCAUUGUGGUCCACAUCGCAAGAAGACCACCUCACAGGGAUUUUCCUCUUCACCAGGUAACCACAAAGAGGAAAAGAAGCACAUUAUCCACAUGUACAGCACGCUACCCCUCCCACUCACGCAAGCUCGCUAUGCUUAUUAACGCCGACCACCAGGACAGCAGGAAGCACACAAGCACACUCACAAGCAUAGCACAUUAUCUUUAUAAGGUGUUAUACACCAGUGACCACCGACACAGGGUCUCACUGUUCUCUAAGCCCUGCUCUGGCUGAAAAGACUGCCCCAUGCAAUGGAAGGAUUACAUUGUGGGAUUAAUGGGAGUUUUAAUUUGAGCCAUUGUAAAAAGCCCUUAGCUAUAAGAAUAAGUGAGGAAAGAAUACCACUGUAUGAUAAUAACUGUGUAUUAUGUGUAUUGUAUUUUAGUCCUGUGGUUGUCUAACUACAAAUGAAGGAAAUGAAAACUUUUUAAGUCUGUAAAACCUACUGUUACCAUUAAAACUACUUCACAUAUUCAGAACAUCAUUUAUCAAACCACUUAUUGGUAGAAAUUUGACAUAUAUGAAUGAAAUUAAUGUACAAUGCACUAUAAUUUACAGUAACAUUUAAACAGACUAUUCUUUAUUGGCACUUGAUUUGUGUAGACCUCGACACCUUGAUUUACCGCUUGUGUUUUGUAGUGCUUUACUUGCAAACGUCCUCCCAAAUAUAACAUUUGUUCAUGCAGGACAAACACCCCAUAAUUCUUUUCAGUAAUGCCCAGCCUCUUUUGGUCAUGACAGCUGCUGCAUGUAAAUACGGCUUCUGUGAAAGUGACACUAGAGCUGUAAGAAGAAUGUAUUUUAGUCCUGACCAUGAUCUUUCUCUAAUCCUAGCCAAGUUUCUAUAUCUAUGUCUAGCCAAGUAACAUUACUGCCAAAACUCACCCCAGAAUCAACAAAAGUGUUUGGUUUGUUUAAUUUUUAUUGCGUACUACGUUACCUCACAAUUUUGUGGACCAAGCAGUUUUUAAUCACAUAUUCUUUUGGUGUUUUACAAAUUAAGUAUUAAUAGAAUUAAAUGUUUAUGUGUCACAGGAAUACAAUAAAGAAAAAUAACUGUUAAUGCUUGUGAUCAGACUUAUGACCACUGGAAUCAAACCUACCCAAGAUGCAUGUCUUUAAAAUGUGGCAGGAAUAGUCAGAUACUGUUUGUUAGUCAGUUGUGAGGCCAAAGUGGUGACCAUAGCAAUAUUAUUUAUUUUUUUCUCUCAGUGCAUUGCAGUGUAUACUGUUGCUCCAUAUACUGUUCAUUUACUAGACAUUUCCUUUAAUUUAUUUAAAUAAAAUGAGUGUAAAUAUGUGAAACUGAAUUCUGUUCAUGUUUAACUAUUUUGCAAAGUCAUGUUUUCAGUUUGUUGAGUAGGAAACAGGAAAAAAGUUAAUUGAUUUUCAAUAAUGUGAGAGGCUUCAUUUUAUUUCAUAGUAAAAAUAAAUAAAUCAA